UAGAUAUAUAUAUAUAUAUAUAUAUAUAUACACACAUACAUACAUACAUACAUACAUACACACAUAUAUUGGUUUAUCUAUGUAUGUGUAUACAUGUCUAUACUGAGUUGACAAAUCCUGAAUAAUCUUAUAACUACAGUAUAUCAGCAUGGUACUAAGUGAGUGGACUGUAUUAGAAAUAACAAUGGCAGUGCAAUGGGCUCUUGCCUUCUCCCAUUAGUACACAUGACAGCCAUGACUGAAAGUAACACUAGUGCUGUUCUUUAAAACACUCAAACGAACCAGAUCUAACAAAGAAUCGCCCUACACUUUAAUAGGCACACAGAAAGGAAGUAAAACAGCCAUAAAAUGCGUUAAAGGGCCUUGCAAAGCCUGCAGGAAAAAGGAAUUACUGAUCCCAAUCCCAUAACACACUUCUCUCAUGUGCACUACACACACAUUCACUUUACUAGUCCACUUCUUUUUAUAGGACCUGGUGUACAAAUUCAUUGUAGUGGUGAACUGCUCAAUGGGAGUUUAUACUUUUGUUUGUUGAAAUAUAUAUGUAUAUAUAUAUUUUUUUUAAGAAAGAAAAUGAAGAAAAGGAAAAAGACUGGUACAUACCACAGCAUUCCUGUCUGUCUUCUCCACUCCUCGACUCUUUCACUCGUUUUUCUCUCCCUUUAGAUUCAGUAACAGCAGAAAUAACUCUUCUCCCCUAGUCACAUUAAUUUCAUUAUCUCCCUUUUUUCCUGUAGCUGUCCGUCUAACAAUACUCUUCUCACAAUGAUGAAUCCAUGAAACAAAGUUUUCAGAGCGUUUUAGUGCCUGUGUUGCUGUUAUUGUUAGUGAAACAGACGAAUCAAACAGUGAAGAAAAACAAGCCGGAAUGUCCGGAUCUCUCCCUGUGUUACUGCUGGGAAAGGAGGGGGGCAGAGAGAGAGAGAGAGAGAGAGAGAGAGUUCCCUGCGUCCAGCACGCUCUUUUCACCACUUCUUCUUAUUUCCUUUGUUGUGCCCCAAAAACAUCCCGACUUCUCAGUCUCCUCUUUUUUGUUGUUGUUGUUAAACGUUUCAGUCGGACACUGCGCUAAAACUCUACAGCGACAAAAGCGCAGAUUUUUAUCCGCAGAAAACAGAUCCGAGCUGACGCGACGCAAAAUACACUCAUUUGUGGCGGAGUGUGUGUGUGUGUGUGUGUGUGCGUGCGUAAGUGCGGGGUUUUUCAGCUUCCCAAUAAUGGCGGAUCCUCUCCCGUUCCCAGCCUCUCCUCCCUUCAACCACUCCGACACACACACACACACACACA
ensembl:lncRNA